AUCUUUUUUACUAGCAAGAGCAGCAGGCGUGCCUUAGUAGCUAAGGAAGUAGUAUAGGUCAGCAGUGACGUGGUGUUUUGGAAUGACGUAAGAGCUUAGCUCAUUUAGAACAGUAGGUCGGUUCAAACUGCUAUAUAAGCAGCAGCACACACCCCGGUUGUAUGCAUUCCAUUCCAAGCAUUUGAGCUUCAUACAACUAGUAUCCCGUGAGCGUCUUUCCUCGUGUGUGUGUGUGUCUUGCCCUGCACUAGUGUGUGUGUGUUAUACUAGUGAGCUGAGUGCAAGUACUACCAGUAGAUAGUCACGACCCUCUAGUCACAGUAGUUCGGGCUAACAAGGAGCGGGUGGCCCCUGAUCCCCGGACCCUGUGCAGAUACCGGCGCGUUGGGGUCAGCGAGGGGAGGCUGCGUUACGCCGUGGUGUCCCAGUGCGACGACCCCUUCGUUCUCCGUUCGUUUGCUCUCAAUGGCGACGACGAUUGGACACUGGAGCAUGAGGUGGCGCUUAGCCCACUCUGGACGAACGGGGGCUACCCCUGGCUGCCUAUGGAGGAGACACCAAGGAUUGGCGUCAUCGACCCCAUGAACGCGAGCAUCAUGCAUCUCACCAUCGGCAACUAUGUUGUCACCGUGGACAUGGACACGGGGAAGGUGGUUGCUAGUGUAAUUGUCUCGGCGGCGCAUCAGCUUGGUCUAAUCAUGACCGAUGGUGGUUUCUUUCGGGCAUUUCUGCUCUCGCCGUGGCUUGGAUCAAGCCGGAUUCCUCGUGCAGGCAAGCGGGACAAUGCCAGGAACAAGACUCUGGCAGAUGUUCUGAUUCGCUCAAACUGAUACUAGAGCAGAUGAAGCAUGCAAGCAACGGCGUGCUUUUUGGAGUUAGAUGCAACAGGAGGUGUUCGAGAUCAUUUUCGACGGGAUUCAACCUAUCAUCAUCAGGGGGAGCCAUUGGAGUUUGGGGAGUUUUUCUUAGCUUCGAUCAAGACUCUUGCCUUUCCAAGUUUUAUUUUGCUUUGUAUGGCUAUCUUGUAAACAGGGCCAAACCUGAAACCUGACAACUUUUGAA